AACGAACGCUGGCGGCAGGCUUAACACAUGCAAGUCGAACGCAUCGCAAGAUCAGUGGCAGACGGGUGAGUAACGCGUGGGAACAUACCCUUUUCUACGGAAUAGCUCUGGGAAACUGGAAUUAAUACCGUAUACGCCCUACGGGGGAAAGAUUUAUCGGGGAAGGAUUGGCCCGCGUUGGAUUAGCUAGUUGGUGGGGUAAAGGCCUACCAAGGCGACGAUCCAUAGCUGGUCUGAGAGGAUGAUCAGCCACAUUGGGACUGAGACACGGCCCAAACUCCUACGGGAGGCAGCAGUGGGGAAUAUUGGACAAUGGGCGCAAGCCUGAUCCAGCCAUGCCGCGUGAGUGAUGAAGGCCUUAGGGUUGUAAAGCUCUUUCACCGAUGAAGAUAAUGACGGUAGUCGGAGAAGAAGCCCCGGCUAACUUCGUGCCAGCCGCCGCGGUAAAAC
rnacentral:rRNA from 1 species